AUUGAACGCUGGCGGCAUGCUUUACACAUGCAAGUCGAACGGUAACAGGGUGCUUGCACCGCUGACGAGUGGCGAACGGGUGAGUAAUGCGUCGGAACGUGCCGAGUAGUGGGGGAUAACGCAGCGAAAGUUGUGCUAAUACCGCAUACGUACUGAGGUAGAAAGUGGGGGACCUUCGGGCCUCACGCUAUUCGAGCGGCCGACGUCUGAUUAGCUAGUAGGUGAGGUAAAGGCUCACCUAGGCGACGAUCAGUAGCGGGUCUGAGAGGAUGUUCCGCCACACUGGGACUGAGACACGGCCCAGACUCCUACGGGAGGAAGCAGUGGGGAAUUUUGGACAAUGGGCGAAUGCCUGAUCCAGCCAUGCCGCGUGUCUGAAGAAGGCCUUCGGGUUGUAAAGGACUUUUGUCAGGGAGGAAAUCCCUAGUGCUAAUAACACUGGGGGAUGACAGUACCUGAAGAAUAGCACCGGCUAACUACGUGCCAGCCGCCGCCGUAA
rnacentral:rRNA from 1 species